rnacentral:rRNA from 1 species
UACAGGGGGGGGCAAGCGUUGUUCGGAAUUACUGGGCGUAAAGGGUCUGUAGGUGGCUCGCUAAGUCAGACGUGAAAUCCCUCAGCUUAACUGGGGAACUGCGUCUGAUACUGAUGAGCUUGAGUGCAGGAGAGGAACGCGGAAUUCCAGGUGUAGCGGUGAAAUGCGUAGAUAUCUGGAGGAACACCGGUGGCGAAGGCGGCGUUCUGGACUGCAACUGACACUGAGAGACGAAAGCCAGGGGAGCAAACGGG